GAUGAACGCUGGCGGCGUGCUUAACACAUGCAAGUCGAACGGAAAGGCCCAAGCUUGCUUGGGUACUCGGGUGGCGAACGGGUGAGUAACACGUGGGUGAUCUGCCCUGCACUUCGGGAUAAGCCUGGGAAACUGGGCCUAAUACCGGAUAGGACCACUUCUUGGAUGUUGUGGUGGAAAGUUUUCUCGGUGUGGGAUGAGCUCGCGGCCUAUCAGCUUGUUGGUGGGGUAAUGGCCUACCAAGGCGUCGACGGGUAGCCGGCCUGAGAGGGUGUACGGCCACAUUGGGACUGAGAUACGGCCCAGACUCCUACGGGAGGCAGCAGUGGGGAAUAUUGCACAAUGGGCGCAAGCCUGAUGCAGCGACGCCGCGUGGGGGAUGACGGCCUUCGGGUUGUAAACUCCUUUCGCUAGGGACGAAGCGUUUUUGUGACGGUACCUGGAGAAGAAGCACCGGCUAACUACGUG
rnacentral:rRNA from 1 species